UUGAACUUGCCAAGGCAAAAUAUGAAAAGGUGCUUCGGGAAUUCAAUCAUGUUAAUCCACAAACGGACAAGGAAGGAAAGUGUUUUUAGACACAAGAAAUUCAUUACAUCUGAAUGUGGCCUCAUGCUUCCUCAAAAUUGGAGAAUGCAGAACCUCUAUCGAGGC